CGCAAGCCUGACGGAGCAAUACCGCGUGGGGGAGGAAGGUCUUUGGAUUGUAAACCCCUUUUCUCAGGGAAGAAGAACUGACGGUACCUGAGGAAUCAGCCUCGGCUAACUCCGUGCCAGCAGCCGCGGUAAGACGGAGGAGGCAAGCGUUAUCCGGAAUUAUUGGGCGUAAAGCGUCCGCAGGUGGCGAUUCAAGUCUGCUGUCAAAGGUCGGGGCUUAACCCCGGGAAGGCAGUGGAAACUGAAUAGCUAGAGUGCGGUAGGGGCAGAGGGAAUUCCCGGUGUAGCGGUGAAAUGCGUAGAGAUCGGGAAGAACACCAGUGGCGAAAGCGCUCUGCUGGGCCUGCACUGACACUGAGGGACGAAAGCUAGGGGAGCG
rnacentral:rRNA from 1 species